rnacentral:rRNA from 1 species
UACAGAGGGGGCAAGCGUUAUUCGGAAUUAUUGGGCGUAAAGCGCGUGUAGGCGGCAUGGCAAGUCGGGUGUGAAAGCCCUCAGCUUAACUGAGGAAGUGCGCCCGAAACUGCUUUGCUUGAGUGCCGGAGAGGAUGGCGGAAUUCCCCAAGUAGAGGUGAAAUUCGUAGAUAUGGGGAGGAACACCGGUGGCGAAGGCGGCCAUCUGGACGGUAACUGACGCUGAGACGCGAAAGCGUGGGUAGCAAACAGG